rnacentral:siRNA from 1 species
GAGAUAGUCUAUAUGGAGCGUGA